CUUCUGUACAUUUGGGGACAACAUAAUCAUUUCCUUGAUUUGAUUAAGCAUGUAUGGAAUUUAUUGAAAUGCCUGAUUUCUGCAAAUAGUUGCAGCUGUUCACAAUAAAUUCUCAUUUCAUCUAACCCAACUUCACUAUAUUUCCAUGCUAUUUCCAGGCCAGACAGUUCAAGUAGUUCGUUUCCCUCUUGGCUCGGAGAAAAUCAAGCAAAUCUUCACACCACAUAGAAAGUAUUAUUCUUCAGCUUCCUUCUCCAAAUUCUACCGACUUUGCUCUAAGCUCAGGCUCUGUGUCCCAACACACGCAAGAAAAAGAAUGUGAGUUACUAAAAAGGGAAAGUAAACAAGUGACCAAACGUGUUUUGUAACCCACCAUGGUAAUAAUAAAUGUUCGCCACUUCCCAGAACCUCAUUGCAAAAUUAUUUGGAACAUCCAAUCAAUGAGAAUCGAAUUUGUGAAUUUGUCACUUUCAUAAUACGAUAUAGCAUAUUGAAAAAUUCAGUAAUAGAUCCCUUCUCGAUGUCUAAGUGGAGUUUCAAACAGUAUCUAAUACCCAUCCAAACCCGUUUGAUGGGAAAAGCCGCAAAAAAACAUACUUGGUAUUGCCCUGAGGAAUAAGCAAAUACGUG
rnacentral:lncRNA from 1 species